rnacentral:rRNA from 1 species
UGCCUCAGUACGGCGAGUGAAGCGGCAAAAGCUCAAAUUUGAAAUCUGCGUAAGCCGAGUUGUAAUUUGAAGAUGGCUACUUUGGUAAUGGCUCUUGUCUAUGUUCCUUGGAACAGGACGUCACAGAGGGUGAGAAUCCCGUGCGAUGAGAUGUCCAUUACCGUGUAAAGUGCUUUCGAAGAGUCGAGUUGUUUGGGAAUGCAGCUCUAAGUGGGUGGUAAAUUCCAUCUAAAGCUAAAUAUUGGCGAGAGACCGAUAGCGAACAAGUACAGUGAUGGAAAGAUGAAAAGAACUUUGAAAAGAGAGUGAAAAAGUACGUGAAAUUGUUGAAAGGGAAGGGCUUGAGAUCAGACUUGGUAUUUUGUAUGGCUUGCUUUCGGGCGGGUCCUCUGCAGUUUACUGGGCCAGCAUCGGUUUGGGUGGCAGGAUAAUAGCAUAGGAAUGUGGCUCUACUUCGGUGGAGUGUUAUAGCCUUUGUUGAUACUGCCUGCCUAGACCGAGGACUGCGUCUUUUGACUAGGAUGCUGGCAUAAUGAUCCUAAGCCGCCCGUCUUGAAACACGGGACCAC